UACGGAGGAUGCAAGCGUUAUCCGGAAUGAUUGGGCGUAAAGCGUCCGCAGGUGGCAAUGUAAGUCUGCUGUCAAAGCGUCUGGCUCAACCAGAUAAAGGCAGUGGAAACUACAUAGCUAGAGUAAGGUAGGGGUAGAGGGAAUUUCCAGUGGAGCGGUGAAAUGCGUAGAGAUUGGAAAGAACACCGAUGGCGAAGGCACUUUACUGGGCUAUUACUAACACUCAGAGACGAAAGCUAGGGUAGCAAAUGGG
rnacentral:rRNA from 1 species